UACGUAGGGGGCGAGCGUUGUCCGGAUUUAUUGGGCGUAAAGAGCUCGUAGGCGGCUUGGCAAGUCGGGUGUGAAACCUCCAGGCUCAACCUGGAGACGCCACUCGAUACUGCUAUGGCUAGAGUCCGGAAGAGGAGAGUGGAAUUCCUGGUGUAGCGGUGAAAUGCGCAGAUAUCAGGAGGAACACCGAUGGCGAAGGCAGGUCUCUGGGCCACUACUGACGCUGAGAAGCGAAAGCAUGGGGAGCGAACAGG
rnacentral:rRNA from 1 species